AAGUAUGCGGAUUCCUUUCACACCGAAAUUUCCUGAAGAAAAUUCCCUUUUGCAUUGACUCAGUGACUAAUUUCCGGUGAUCAAAUUUGUAGAUCUAUUGAGUAUUUCUGUACUUACAAUUCUCUAGUCUUAGCGGCUCGAUCAUCGCUGACCAGGUGCGAUCGAUUAAUAAUGGCUGCUUCUUCUUCUUCAUCUUCUUCUGGCCUUGGUUGCAAAUACGAUGUGUUCAUCAAUUUCAGAGGGGAAGACACUCGCAGGGGCUUCGUCAGCCAUCUCUACAACGCUCUGGCUAAGAAACCAAUCAACGCCUUCAUUGAUGCCGAAAAGCUCAGAAAAGGCGACCACCUUUCCGAGCUCCUGACAGCGAUUCGAGAGUCAAGGCUUUCGAUUGUAGUUUUCUCUCAAAACUAUGCUUCUUCCACUUGGUGCUUGAAAGAACUCGUGCAAAUCCUGGAAUGCAAGGAUACCAAUAACCGGAUUGUACUCCCCAUUUUCUAUGAAGUUGAUCCGUCUGACGUUCGUAAACUCAAGAGAAAAUUCGAGGAAGCUUUUGCUCAGCACUAUCGUGAUUCUAACGCUGAAAUGGAAGAGGUUCAGAGCUGGAGAUCCGCUCUUACAACUGCCACCAGUUUAUCCGGCUGGGAUUCGCGAAACUAUGAGAAUGAUGUGGUGCUUAUUGAGGAAAUUGUAGAAGAUGUUUAUAGGAAAUUGAUCGACAUCUCAUCAACAUCAAGCAAAGAUAAUGGCUUGGUUGACAUGGAUUCUCACAUGCAUGAAAUGCAUCUAUUAUUAUAUCCUCCCGGAGGUGAAACGAAUACUGUUCGCAUUGUUGGAAUAUGGGGUAUGGGUGGUUUAGGCAAAACAACCAUCGCUAGAGCUGUUCAUGAUAAAAUCGCUAGUCGAUUUGAAGCUUGUUGCUUUCUUGAAAAUUUCAAGGAAGGUUUCAUGAAGCAUGGCAAACUACAUAUGCAGGCACAACUUCUAUUGAGUAUCUCGAACAACAAGGUGGGGAGUUCUGACAUAUCGAGUAAAGGUUUUCAGGUGAUGUUAGAAAGCCUUGGUCAGAGAAAAGUUCUUAUUGUUGUUGAUGAUGUGGACGAAUUAGAACAAAUUGAAGCUUUACUUGAAGAGCCACAUUCCUUUGGUGGUGGAAGCAGAAUUAUUAUAACAACUAGAGAUUCGCAAUUACUAAGCAUAGCUGAUGUGAUAUAUAAUCCCAAGAUUUUGAGUGAUUCUGGAGCUCUGAAACUCUUUAGGCGGCACGCCUUCAGAAAAAACCAACCCACCAGAGAUUAUGAUGAUCUCUCGAAUCAUGUCGUAGAAUAUGCUCAAGGCCUGCCUUUAGCACUCAAAGUCUUGGGAGCUUUUCUUGGUAACAAAACUAUACGCGAGUGGGAAGAUGAGUUAGAAAAAAUAAGGAAAAUCCCGCGAAGGGGAAUUCAUGAUGUGCUUAAAUCAAGCUUCGAUGGACUAGAUGACAAGGAGAAGGACAUCUUUCUAGACAUUGCAUGUUUCUUUAAAGGGAUGGAGAAAGACUGUGCAGCCCGAAUUCUGGAAGAUUGUGGUUUCCAUCCUUAUACUGGAAUAAGAGUUCUAAUCGAUCGAGCACUCAUAACUGUCUCAGGGGAGGGGGAACUGGAGAUGCAUGAUUCAUUAGCGGAAAUGGGUCGGGAAAUCGUCCGCCAAGAAUGUAUCAAAGAGCCUGGGAGACGAAGUAGGUUGUGGAGUUAUGAAGAUGUUCAUCACGUGCUAUCUCAAAAUACGGCUACAAAAACAGUUGAAAGCAUAAUUGUGGAUUUCUCGUACUCAGGCUGGCCAUGCUUAAAUGCUGAAGCUUUUGUUAGAAUGACUCAACUAAGACUUCUCAAGAUCAGUCAUAGGCACUUAAAUGCUGAAUCUGUUGUUAGAAGGAUUCAACGAAGACUUCUCACGAUCGGUCUUCAUGGGAACUUAAAUGCUCAACGAAGACUUCUCGAGAUCAGUUAUAGGCACUUCGUUUUUAAAGAUGAGUACUGCAAACAACACCUGUUUGGGUCCUUAAAGUUGCUUAACCUGAGGUAUCUCUCCUGGCUUGGUUUCCCUCUCAAGUCUUUGCCAUCCAACUUUCAAUUCGAAAAUCUUGUUGAACUUGACAUGCAAUGUAGUCUCAUUGACCGACUUUGGGAAGGAACCCAGACGCAGGAAAAGUUGAAAUUCAUCAAUUUAAGUUAUUGUCAAUCCCUUAAGGAAACCCCUGACUUCACAAAUGUGCCAAAUCUUGAGAGGCUAAUUGUUCGAAGUUGUAUAAGCUUAGUUGAGGUUCACCCGUCUAUUUCGACUCUUACAAACCUUGUUUUAUUGGAUCUGCAUGGGUGCAAUGAACUUAAGAUUCUACCUAGCAAAAUUUGUAUGAGAUCUCUCAAAACCUUGAAUCUUUCUGACUGCUCCAGUCUUGAGAUGUUUCCAGAGAUUUCAGAAGGUAUGGAGGAGUUAGAAGAGCUUAAUUUAUCCGGGUCAAAAAUUAAAGAAUUGCCCCUGUCAAUUAAUAAUCUCUCGGGGUUGAGUCAUUUCAACCUAAAAGAUUGCAAGGAACUUAAGAUUCUACCUAGCAAAAUUUGUAUGAGAUCUCUCAAAACCUUUAAUCUUUGUGACUGCUCCAGUCUUGAGAUGUUUCCAGAGAUUUCAGAAGGUAUGGAGGGGUUAGAAGAGCUUAAUUUAUCUGGGUCAAAAAUUAAAGAACUGCCCCUGUCAAUUAAUAAUCUCUCGGGGUUGAGUCAUUUCAACCUAAAAGAUUGCAAGGAACUUAAGAUUCUACCUAGCAAAAUUCGUAUGAGAUCUCUCAAAACCUUUAAUCUUUCUGACUGCACCAGUCUUGAGAUGUUUCCAGAGAUUUCAGAAGGUAUGGAGGAGUUAGAAGAGCUUAAUUUAUCCGGGUCAAAAAUUAAAGAACUGUCCCUGUCAAUUAAUAAUCUCACGGGGUUGAGUCAUUUCAACCUAAAAGAUUGCAAGGAACUUAAGAGUCUUCCAAGCUGCAUUCAUAUGAAAUGUCUGAAAACCUUUAAUCUUUAUGGCUGCUUCAGUCUUGAGAUGUUUCCAUCGAUUUCAGAAGGUAUUGAGGGGUUAGAAAAGCUUGAUUUACCCUGCUCAAAAAUUAAAGAACUGUCCUCGUCAAUUAAUAAUCUUACGAGGUUGUGUCAUUUGAAUCUACAUAAUUGCACGGAACUUAAGAGUCUUCCAAGCAGCAUUCGUAUGAAAUCUCUCAAAACCUUUAAUCUUUCUGGCUGCUCUAGUCUUGAGAUGUUUCCAAAGAUUUCAGAAGGUAUGGAGGAGUUAGAAGAGCUUAAUUUAUCCGGGUCAAAAAUUAAAGAACUGCCCUCGUCAAUUAAUAAUCUUACGGGAUUGAAUCAUUUGAAUCUAAAAGAUUGCAAAGAACUUAAGAGUCUUCCAAGCAGCAUUUGUCAGCUCAAGUCCCUUUUCUCUCUCUCUCUUUCCGGUUGUACAAAAUUUGAGUUGUUUCCAAGCAUUGAAGAAAAUAUGGAAGGAUUAAGAAGUCUUUUCCUGGAUGGAACAUCUAUUAAAGAGCUUUCCCCCUGGAUUGAACGCCUUACGGAGCUUCGGUAUUUAUAUUUGAGAGACUGCAAAAGCCUUGUACAUCGUCCCAACACGCUCUGUAAUUUGUAUUUUCAUAGCCCUCUCGAGGACGCAUAUCGCCGUCUUGGCUGACUCCCUUUCCACCGCAACCCCCCAAUUUAUAGGGGUUUUGGGUACUCUCUGCUGAUAAACACAUGGAUACGAAGCUCUGAUUUGAAGCAAUCAAUCGGACACUACACCGCGUUGCGGCGGCUUUGGUGGAAUUGGCGUGGUCAGACGGCUAGCCACGGCCGCAUAUUUUGAAAUCCCAAGAGGUGGCAUUUUCCAAGGAGAGGUACAUAACUCCACCUCCGGAUUCUUUUGAUUUGUGCUUGUGCAGAAACUGUGAAGAUAUUGGUAUGUCAAUUCCCGUUGCUAACUUGCUAAUGCCACCGGUGCUCCUCCAAUUUGGUGAAAGGGAAGAUGUAUGAGAUUGGAUCGUGUGGAAUUAGCAGCCUAAAAGGGCACAUCAAGAGGAGGAAUAAAUAAGAGCCUCAAUGAGUUCAUCUCCCUCUUUGGAAGAAUGUCCCUUGUACCAACUAAUGCUAAAGCUGUAGACGCUAGAAUUGAAUGGUUCUAGUAGUUUCAGGUUACAUUUAUAUAUUUCUAGCAUCUGUAUAUGUGCUGUUUGGGGGACGUUAUCGCCAGGGCCGACCCUGGUCCAGUGCAAACAGUACACCUGUCCAGAGCCGAAAUUGUUUUGGGGGCACUUCUUCCUUCACGAAUCGGGACAGCGGUGUCCUGAGCCUUUCUUCCAGACCAGUGCCCUUCCGUCCCAGCUUUCCUUAUCAGCCUCUUGACCUCCGAAAUCGCUGCAGAAAUCGCCCAAAACUCGACUGAAUUUUACAGAAUCGGUUGCCGUCGUCACCGCUGCAGUCCCUCUGUGCGCAGCUCAUUGAGCUUUCUGGGUACUCUUGCUCCGAGCACACAAUUCAGACGAAAGAUGGGUACUUACUGGGUUUGAGAUGUGAAGGACUAAUAGAAGUCGUGUUUGUUACUGCAAUUUCUACUUGGUUUGAGAUGUGAAGGACUAAAAAGAUUGUUAUGGUGGGGAGUGUUCCCCGUAAAUGAUCUGUGAGUAAAAUAUUGAUUCUGUGGACGCCUGAUUAGUGAAAAGCCAUACUUUCAUAGCUCCUUCCAAUUUUUUCAACAUAUUGGUCCUACCAAGAGGUUAUUUCAAAUUUUGAAUGUAUAGCUCACUAUUUGGUGCCUCAACGAUUUCAUCUCCCUCUUUGGAAGAAUGCCCCUUGUACCAACUAAUGCUAAAGCUGUAGACGCUAGAAUUGAAUAGUUCCGGUAGAUUUUUCUAGCAUCUGUAUAUAUACUGUUUGGAGAAGGACGUUAUCGCGAUUCAGGGCCGGCCCUGGCUCAGUGCAAACAGUGCACCUGUCCAGGGCCGAAAUUGUUUUGGGGCACUUCUUCCUUCGUGAAUUGCGAUAGCGGCGACCAAAGCCUUUCUUCCAGACCAGUGCCCUUUGGUCGCGGCUUUCCUUAUCAGCCUCUUGACCUCCGAAAUCGCUGCAGAAAUUUCCCAAAACUCGACUAAAUUUUACAGAAUUGGUCACUGUCGUUCACCACUGCAGUCCUCUGUGCGGUCGCUGUCGUUCACCACUGCAGUCCUCUGUGCGCAGCUCAUUGAGCUUUCUGGGUACUCUUGCUCCGAGCACACAGUGAAUUCAGACGAAAGAUGGGUACUUCCUGGAUUUGAGAUGUGAAGGACUAAUAGGAGUCAUGUUUGUUAGUGCAACUUCUGUACGGUUGAGAUGUGAAGGACUAAUGAGAUUGCUCUGGUGGGGAGUGUUCCCCGUAACUGAUACGCGGGUAAAAUAUGGAUUCUCUGGACGCCUGAUUAGUGAAAAGUCUUACUUUCAUAGCUCCUUCCUAUUUUUUCAACAUACUGGUCCUACUAAGUUGAUUAUUUCAAAUUUUGAAUGUAUAGCUCACUAUUUGGUGCCCCCUGA